GUCUUGCUAAAUUGCUGAGGAUCUUGUUAAAUUGCUUAGGCUAUCCUCGAACUUGUGAUUCUCCUGCCUCAGCCUUGAAAGAAGUGGUAGGAUUAUAAGCAUGUACCACGUUGUCCAGCUGAAUUUUAAUUUUUUUUAGUGCUUAUACUCCACUUGUGCUAUAACUUCAGAUAAAGAAUUAUGAAGCAAAAUAAUUCAAAGUACUUUGCAAGAAUUAUCUCGUAUGCUUUAAAUUAUUCAUAGUUGUACUACAAGUAAGGUGCUUCUGUUUUUCUUUUACAGAUAGAGAAACUAGGUCUCAAAAAGUUAAUUAAGCUUCCUAGAUUUGGCAGCCAUAAAGUGGUAGACCCAAAAUUCACAUUGAGGUUUUUAAGCCCUGUGCUCAGUGCACUUAAUUUACACUUUCCCUGUUAUUUUUACUCCUGUAAAAUGUGAAUUAAUAAUACAUGCUUCAUGUAUUAUUUUAGGAAUUAGUGAUUAUAGAGUAUGUUAUUAAAUUAUGUAAAAUAUUUAUUAUAUAGGUUGCUUUUGAGAGGCCAAUAAUAGUGCAUCAGUCUUUUCCCCAGGUUAUGUCUUUUACAUGUGCAUUGCUCCAAAAUUACAUUCCUGUAGCUAUAGGCCUUAGCCAGAAUAUAAUAUAAACAUUAUUUUUCAGAAAGUAAAUUUUAUUAUAGUGCUCUAUCCCAAAAACUAAUAUAAAAGAACUUCA
rnacentral:lncRNA from 1 species